GAGAUUGAAGCCUGUUGAUGAGGGUGUUUAGCUGUUAACUAAAUUUUCGUGGGUUUGAAUUCCAUCAACCUAG
rfam:Papio anubis isolate 1X1155 chromosome 15, whole genome shotgun sequence.